rnacentral:rRNA from 2 species
ACACGUGGGUAACCUGCCUGUAAGACUGGGAUAACUCCGGGAAACCGGGGCUAAUACCGGAUGGUUGUUUGAACCGCAUGGUUCAAACAUAAAAGGUGGCUUCGGCUACCACUUACAGAUGGACCCGCGGCGCAUUAGCUAGUUGGUGAGGUAACGGCUCACCAAGGCAACGAUGCGUAGCCGACCUGAGAGGGUGAUCGGCCACACUGGGACUGAGACACGGCCCAGACUCCUACGGGAGGCAGCAGUAGGGAAUCUUCCGCAAUGGACGAAAGUCUGACGGAGCAACGCCGCGUGAGUGAUGAAGGUUUUCGGAUCGUAAAGCUCUGUUGUUAGGGAAGAACAAGUACCGUUCGAAUAGGGCGGUACCUUGACGGUACCUAACCAGAAAGCCACGGCUAACUACGUGCCAGCAGCCGCGGUAAUACGUAGGUGGCAAGCGUUGUCCGGAAUUAUUGGGCGUAAAGGGCUCGCAGGCGGUUUCUUAAGUCUGAUGUGAAAGCCCCCGGCUCAACCGGGGAGGGUCAUUGGAAACUGGGGAACUUGAGUGCAGAAGAGGAGAGUGGAAUUCCACGUGUAGCGGUGAAAUGCGUAGAGAUGUGGAGGAACACCAGUGGCGAAGGCGACUCUCUGGUCUGUAACUGACGCUGAGGAGCGAAAGCGUGGGGAGCGAACAGGAUUAGAUACCCUGGUAGUCCACGCCGUAAACGAUGAGUGCUAAGUGUUAGGGGGUUUCCG